UACGGGGGGGGCAAGCGUUGUUCGGAAUUACUGGGCGUAAAGGGCUCGUAGGUGGCCAACUAAGUCAGACGUGAAAUCCCUCGGCUUAACCGGGGAACUGCGUCUGAUACUGGAUGGCUUGAGAUUUGGGAGAGGGAUGCGGAAUUCCAGGUGUAGCGGUGAAAUGCGUAGAUAUCUGGAGGAACACCGGUGGCGAAGGCGGCAUCCUGGACCAACACUGACACUGAGGAGCGAAAGCCAGGGGAGCAAACGGG
rnacentral:rRNA from 1 species